AGUGGGGAAAAUGAAGCCAUGAGUAUCUCAGAGCGAUGGGUGUGGGAACAUGGAGGAAAGCCUAUACUUUUUGGCCUCUAAACUUAGGGGCCAAAAUUCUUUUGUGUUUUCCUGAUGCCUCCCAUGCCUAUUGUCCUUAGGUAUUCCUCCCCUUUCCCUAUUUUC
rnacentral:pre_miRNA from 1 species